AGAACGAACGCUGGCGGCAUGCCUAACACAUGCAAGUCGAACGAGACCUUCGGGUCUAGUGGCGCACGGGUGCGUAACGCGUGGGAAUCAGCCCUUGGGUUCGGGAUAACAGUUGGAAACGACUGCUAAUACCGGAUGAUGACUUCGGUCCAAAGAUUUAUCGCCCAAGGAUGAGCCCGCGUAGGAUUAGCUUGUUGGUGAGGUAAGAGCUCACCAAGGCGACGAUCCUUAGCUGGUCUGAGAGGAUGAUCAGCCACACUGGGACUGAGACACGGCCCAGACUCCUACGGGAGGCAGCAGUGGGGAAUAUUGGACAAGUGGGACGAAAGCCUGAUCCAGCAAUGCCGCGUGAGUGAUGAAGGUCCGUUAGGUUAGUAAAG
rnacentral:rRNA from 1 species